rnacentral:rRNA from 1 species
UUUAUAUGAGAGUUUGAUCCUGGCUCAGGAUGAACGCCGGCGGUGUGCCUAAUACAUGCAAGUCGUACGCACUGGCCCAACUGAUUGAUGGUGCUUGCACCUGAUUGACGAUGGAUCACCAGUGAGUGGCGGACGGGUGAGUAACACGUAGGUAACCUGCCCCGGAGCGGGGGAUAACAUUUGGAAACAGAUGCUAAUACCGCAUAACAACAAAAGCCACAUGGCUUUUGUUUGAAAGAUGGCUUUGGCUAUCACUCUGGGAUGGACCUGCGGUGCAUUAGCUAGUUGGUAAGGUAACGGCUUACCAAGGCGAUGAUGCAUAGCCGAGUUGAGAGACUGAUCGGCCACAAUGGAACUGAGACACGGUCCAUACUCCUACGGGAGG